GGCCUAACACAUGCAAGUCGAGCGGCAGCACAGGCGUAGCAAUACGCUGGGUGGCGAGCGGCGGACGGGUGAGGAACACAUCGGAAUCUACCCUGUCGUGGGGGACAACGUAGGGAAACUUACGCUAAUACCGCAUACGACCUUCGGGUGAAAGCGGGGGACUCGCAAGAGCCUCGCGCGACUGGAUGAGCCGAUGUCCGAUUAGCUAGUUGGCGGGGUAAUGGCCCACCAAGGCGACGAUCGGUAGCUGGUCUGAGAGGACGACCAGCCACACUGGAACUGAGACACGGUCCAGACUCCUACGGGAGGCAGCAGUGGGGAAUAUUGGACAAUGGGGGCAACCCUGAUCCAGCCAUGCCGCGUGGGUGAAGAAGGCCUUCGGGUUGUAAAGCCCUUUUGUACGGGAAGAAAAGCCAGUGGCGAAUAUCCGCUGGUCAUGACGGUACCGUA
rnacentral:rRNA from 1 species